rnacentral:ncRNA from 1 species
CGGAUAAAUCGUCCGCUGGGAUGUAGCCUUACAAAAAGGCUGAACCAUAAA